rnacentral:rRNA from 1 species
CUGGGCGUAAAGCGUGCGCAGGCGGUUUUGUAAGUCAGAUGUGAAAUCCCCGAGCUCAACUUGGGAACUGCGUUUGAAACUACAAGACUAGAAUAUGUCAGAGGGGGGUAGAAUCCACGUGUAGCAGUGAAAUGCGUAGAGAUGUGGAGGAAUACCAAUGGCGAAGGCAGCCCCCUGGGAUAAUAUUGACGCUCAUGCACGAAAGCGUGGGGAGCAAACAGGAUUAGAUACCCUGAGUGUCCACGCCCUAAACGAUGUCUACUAGUUGUUGGUGGAGUAAAAUCCAUGAGUAACGCAGCUGACGCGUGAAGUAGACCGCGUGGGGAGUACGGUCGCAAGAUAAAGACUCGAAUGAAUUGACGGGGGCCCGCACCAGCGGUGGAUUAUGUGGACUAAUUCGAUGCAACGCGAAAAACCUUACCUGGCCUUGACAUGCCACUAACGAAGCAGAGAUGCAUUAGGUGCUCGAAAGAGAAAGUGGACACAGGUGCUGCAUGGCUGUCGUCAGCUCGUGUCGUGAGAUGUUGGGUUAAGUCCCGCAACGAGCGCAACCCUUGCCAAUAAUUGCCAUCAUUUAGUUGGGCACUUUAUUGGGACUGCCGGUGACAAACCGGAGGAAGGUGGGGAUGACGUCAAGUCCUCAUGGCCCUUAUGGCCAGGGCUUCACACGUAAUACAAUGGUCGGUACAGAGGGUUGCCAAGCCGCGAGGUGGAGCCAAUCCCAGAAAGCCGAUCGUAGUCCGGAUUGUUCUCUGCAACUCGAGAGCAUGAAGUCGGAAUCG